rnacentral:rRNA from 1 species
CACGUAGGGUGCGAGCGUUUGUCCGGAAUUAUUGGGCGUAAAGAGCUCGUAGGCGGUGUGUCGCGUCGGCCGUGAAAACCUGCAGCUUAACUGUGGGCUUGCGGUCGAUACGGGCAUCACUGGAGUUCGGGCAGGGGAGACUGGAAUUCCUGGUGUAGCGGUGAAAUGCGCAGAUAUCAGGAGGGAACACCGGUGGGCGAAGGCGGGUC